ACAAAUCUAUAUGACCAAAUGCAAAACAAAGCCCACACUCUUUUCAGAUCCAAUUGAAAUUUUAUGGAGGUUAAAAAUGACCUGUCAUAGGAAGUGACUAAGAUGUUCCCUUUUUUAGCCAACAUUUUUUGUCUUAUUUGUUGAUCUAGGGACCCAUCUAAUGUGUGCAUUUAAGGAUGAGAAUGGAUCCAAAUGCUCCAAGGGCCUAAAACUCGAGUUCUCAUGUAUAUGCUUGACAUGAUAAUAACAAUUGCGAUCUGGAUUGUAGGCUUGUAGAAUCUUAUGACCCUAAAUGGUCAAAAAGAUCCAAAUUGUUGUAAAAUUGGUAUAUUAUAGCUGGAUUGUAAGUAGGAUCUUGUAGGAUUGCAGUUAGGAUCUUUGGGUUGGUGAUUUUUCACCUCAUCUUUAUUAUGCAUCAUCCUUGUUGGUAUUUUUACCUUUUUUCAUUGUUAUAAAAGUAUAAUCUUAUGAUUCUUGAUCCGAUACGAUUCAAUCUACUAGACUCUCUCACCAUUCUCAUAUCCUGAUUUAUUAACCAUGAUGCCAGAGUUGCCUUGAACUGAACUAUUAUCCAUGGUCAAGGUAGAUUCCUUCGGUUUUCAUAGUAAAAUUUGUCUCUUUUUUGGGAAAAGAAAUAUAAUGUGCUAUUAGUGCUAUAUAUGAGAGAAGACAAAAUCAAAGCUUAAUGCAAAUUUUAUGUCUCAUGGUGUUGCAAGCCUUAGGCUCAAUAUUCAGUUGCUAGACCCUUAAAGUUUGUGCUUCGUGGCAUUUCCUUGAUCUAUGCCUUGGUUUUUUAUUCAUCUCAUGGAUUAUAAAUCUUCAUCAUGUAGUAUCAUCAAUUCUAUUUUCAUGAUGGUAAAAUGAAGCAUGGCAUAGUAAUCAAUUUAAUAUUUGAAUAAAUGCAUGUGAAAUUUAAAUCUUAUGAAUUUAGGCCUCCAAGGAGUCAUUUCGACAUGUUUAUCUAGCUUCAAUAUGAUGUACACGUUAAUCUUUUUGUAGGUUUCUGAAGGAUCAUUUGUCAAAAAAUCGGCAGUAAGCAUGCUUAGUGGGAAGAAACCUGUUCAGGCUGUUCCUGCUAGUAAGAAAUGAGGGGUUGUAAAAUCGGGUGUCAAUAAGAAAGGAGAUGCUGUUGGACAAUUAAAAACAUCCAAACCAGCUGAACCUGAAGACGUUGAGGAAUGGUGAUUGACACUUUGUUAUUCCUUUUCAUGCAUGUGGGGGACUCCAAAACUUGUGCAGAAAAUGCCUACCAUACAGCUGUGAAAGGAUGGCAAGAAACAGGCAGAUGCGUCCUAUUAGACCAAAAGCUGGUGGUUCUCCAUGAAAACAAUAUCAGUUACUGUGUAAUACAUUGGCAUGAAAUUUUGUUUGUCCUUCUUGAAUGGCUAUGAGAUGUAUUGGUAAGUUGUAUAGGGAAGAGGAUUAAAUCAAAUAAAACUAAGCUGUGUAUCACAACCAGAAUUUACUUGCACCAUAUUUUAUGUAUGUUCUCUUGAAACAAAUACAUUAGAUUUUUUUUUUUUUUUUGGUAUUUGUGUUUGCAGUUUGAAGGCCUAUUUUCCUUUUGUUACUGUACUUGUCAAAGUGCUUUUGAG